AUUGAACGCUGGCGGCAUGCCUUACACAUGCAAGUCGAACGGCAGCGGGGGAGAAGCUUGCUUUUCCUGCCGGCGAGUGGCGAACGGGUGAGUAAUACAUCGGAACGUGCCCUGUAGUGGGGGAUAACUAGUCGAAAGAUUAGCUAAUACCGCAUACGACCUGAGGGUGAAAGUGGGGGACCGCAAGGCCUCAUGCUAUAGGAGCGGCCGAUGUCUGAUUAGCUAGGUGGUGGGGUAAAGGCCUACCAAGGCGACGAUCAGUAGCUGGUCUGAGAGGACGAUCAGCCACACUGGGACUGCGACACGGCCCAGACUCCUACGGGAGGCAGCAGUGGGGAAUUUUGGACAAUGGGCGAAAGCCUGAUUCAGCAAUGCCGCGUGUGUGAAGAAGGCCUUCGGGUUGUAAAGCACUUUUGUCCGGAAAGAAAUGGCUCUGGUUAAUACCUGGGGUCGAUGACGGUACCGGAAGAAUAAGGACCGGCUAACUACGUGCCAGCCGCCGCCGUAA
rnacentral:rRNA from 1 species